UGCUACAAUAGGACAGAACAAAGGGCAGCGAAACCGCGAGGUUAAGCCAAUCCCACAAAUCUGUUCUCAGUUCGGAUCGCAGUCUGCAACUCGACUGCGUGAAGCUGGAAUCGCUAGUAAUCGCGGAUCAGCAUGCCGCGGUGAAUACGUUCCCGGGCCUUGUACACACCGCCCGUCACACCACGAGAGUUUGUAACACCCGAAGUCGGUGAGGUAACCUUUUAGGAGCCAGCCGCCGAAGGUGGGACAGAUGAUUGGGGUGAAGUCGUAACAAGGUAGCCGUAUCGGAAGGUGCGGUUGGAUCACCUCCUAA
rnacentral:rRNA from 1 species